UAUCCGCCCUCUGAACGAUUGGUUGAAUAAUUAGAUUGGUAUCUCAGUCCAUGUAUUGAAUAUUGGCAUGCUUUUCUUUAGAAAUGGAUUGAAUUGUCAGUCUAUGACAGCUAAAAUUGGAUUGAGAUUGCAUAUUGGUUUUGGCCGUUAGUCAACAACAGAUUUUUAUAUUU